AUGCACGCUGGCGGCGUGCCUAAUCCCUGCAAGUCGAGCGCACAGACGAGGAGCUUGCUCCUCUGACGUUAUCGGCGGACGGGUGAGUAACACGUGGAUAACCUACCUAUAAUACUGGGAUAACUUCGGGAAACCGGAGCUAAUACCGGAUAACAUGUUUAACCGCAUGGUUCAACAGUUAAAUACGGUCUUUCUUUCACUUAUAUAUGGUUCAGCUCCGCAUUAGCUAGUUGGUAAGGUAACGGCUUACCAAGGCAACGAUGCGUAGCCGACCUGAGAGGGUGAACGGACAGACUGGAAGUGAGACACGGACCAGAGUACUAAGGGAGGCAGCAGAAGGGAAUCUUACGCAAUGGGCGAAAGCAUGACGGAGCAACGCAGCGUGAGAGAAGAAGGUCUUCGGAUCGUAAAACUCUGUUAGUAGGGAAGAAAAAAAGUGUAAGUAACAAUGCACGUCUUGACGGUACCAAAUCAGAAAGCAACGGCUAACUACGUG
rnacentral:rRNA from 1 species